UACGAAGGGGGCUAGCGUUGUUCGGAAUUACUGGGCGUAAAGCGGGUGUAGGCGGAUCUUUAAGUCGGAGGUGAAAGCCCAGGGCUCAACCCUGGAAUUGCCUUCGAUACUGGAGAUCUGGAGUGUGGGAGAGGUGAGUGGAAUUCCGAGUGGAGAGGUGAAAUUCGUAGAUAUUCGGAGGAACACCAGAGGCGAAGGCGGCUCACUGGACCACUACUGACGCUGAGACCCGAAAGCGUGGGGAGCAAACAGG
rnacentral:rRNA from 1 species